UACGUAGGGUGCAAGCGUUAAUCGGAAUUACUGGGCGUAAAGCGUGCGCAGGCGGCUUUGCAAGACAGAUGUGAAAUCCCCGGGCUCAACCUGGGAACUGCAUUUGUGACUGCAUGGCUGGAGUGCGGCAGAGGGGGAUGGAAUUCCGCGUGUAGCAGUGAAAUGCGUAGAUAUGCGGAGGAACACCGAUGGCGAAGGCAGUCCCCUGGGCCUGUACUGACGCUCAUGCACGAAAGCGUGGGGAGCAAACAGGAUUAGAAACCCCUGUAGUCC
rnacentral:rRNA from 1 species